rnacentral:rRNA from 1 species
GGUGACGAGUGGCGGACGGGUGAGUAAUGUCUGGGAAACUGCCUGAUGGAGGGGGAUAACUACUGGAAACGGUAGCUAAUACCGCAUAACGUCGCAAGACCAAAGAGGGGGACCUUCGGGCCUCUUGCCAUCAGAUGUGCCCAGAUGGGAUUAGCUAGUAGGUGGGGUAAUGGCUCACCUAGGCGACGAUCCCUAGCUGGUCUGAGAGGAUGACCAGCCACACUGGAACUGAGACACGGUCCAGACUCCUACGGGAGGCAGCAGUGGGGAAUAUUGCACAAUGGGCGCAAGCCUGAUGCAGCCAUGCCGCGUGUAUGAAGAAGGCCUUCGGGUUGUAAAGUACUUUCAGCGGGGAGGAAGGUGUUGUGGUUAAUAACCGCAGCAAUUGACGUUACCCGCAGAAGAAGCACCGGCUAACUCCGUGCCAGCAGCCGCGGUAAUACGGAGGGUGCAAGCGUUAAUCGGAAUUACUGGGCGUAAAGCGCACGCAGGCGGUCUGUCAAGUCGGAUGUGAAAUCCCCGGGCUCAACCUGGGAACUGCAUUCGAAACUGGCAGGCUAGAGUCUUGUAGAGGGGGGUAGAAUUUCCAGGUGUAGCGGUGAAAUGCGUAGAGAUCUGGAGGAAUACCGGUGGCGAAGGCGGCCCCCUGUACAAAGACUGACGCUCAGGUGCGAAAGCGUGGGGAGCAAAACAGGA